ACACUGAUUGCUAAUGGCGCUAAUAAACUGCGCGUCGAUUGACAUCGGAAGCAUCGUGCAAGAUGCCGUGCGAUCUUCACAUGAAGAUGAUUACCGUCGUACCAGUGUACUGGCAAUCUGUUUGUUAGAUCGCGAGUUUCGUGAGAGUUCGUUCGACCGAAGCUCGUCGUGCGAGCGACGGCCGACGGCGUCAGUGAUCCGUCGCUCGUCGAUCGAUCGCGUUUGUUUACGGUCACAAUUCGUGUGUUUAUCAGCGUACAUGAGAAAGCGGACGUAACAAUCGUCCGGAGACGUACGUGUGCUUAGCGUUAGCAACGGUUGCGGCCACCGGAUCAAAGAUUAUGUCGCUCGUUGCGGCGAGGUAAGGAUGCCGCGUGAAGUUGUCCGCGCGUUCUCAUCGUUCGAGAGUCGGCUAACGUCAUUGCCGUCGGGUGCUGAGUGAGGCGGAUCGCAGUUCGCCUGCCGUUUCGAGGUUAAUUUUCUGUCGCGACGUAAUAAAGUGCGCAUCGCGUACUUCGGCGGAGUUAUUAUCAAGGUAAUUAUCGCCGUACUCACAAGUAGACUGGCAACUUGUUAGAUCGCAAAUUUCAUGAGAGUCCGUUCGAUCGAAACUCGUCAUGCAAGCGACGGCAUCAGUGAUUCAUCGCCCAUCGGUUGAUCGCAUUUUUCGAUCCGCGGAUGUUUGUUUUCAGUGUUAUUUCGUACAUGAUAAUAAUGCGGACAUAAUAAUCGGCCGGGAACACGCGUAUUGUGUGUGUUUGCAGCGGCAGCGGUUAUGGCCAAUCGGCCGAAAAGUUAGGUUAGGUCAAGUUACGCUUCCCGGCGCGGCGUGAAGGUGCCGUGCGUAUCCCUGACGCUCGAGGUUCGUCGUCUGCCGCGUUACCUUCUCCGACGGCAUCACGGCAUGACGAGUGGAUACAGAUAACGUUUUCGUCGUUUCGCGUUAACUUCUUGUCACAAUGUAAUGAACUGCGCAUCGUGCACGGGAGUACCAGGAUGUUACGCGAUUGUCGUAUCGAAGUGAUUAUUACUGACCAUAUUAUAAGUGGAAGUGUUUUUGCAAGUGAAUGUUAGUGCCAUAAAAACAACAAGCAGGAACAAGAAAGGAGGAGGAGGACCUGGCAGGCAACAGGCGACGGUGGUGCAACCACGAGGUUAAUGUAGUUGCGUUAUAACUCCGCUGCUGCGCAUCGGUCCGGCGACGAAAGG
rnacentral:lncRNA from 13 species